UUUCCGUAGGUGAACCUGCGGAAGGAUCAUUAAAAAAUUGGACUCCAUUGGUGAGUUCAUUAAUAAUCCCUACCCUUUGUGAAUUUGUUUGUUUGAAUAAUUUUUUUCCAAAAAAAAUUAUUGAAUGUCUUUCCUUGUUUUGGUGGAGCUUGUAAAGUGAAACCAGGCAGGGGAAUGGCAAACAAUAAUUAUUUUUGAAAAAGACCUUUUUUUAAAAUUAAACUUUUUGUAUUCAUUUGUCUAAAAUUAAUUUUUAUAAUAUAAAAACAACUUUUGACAAUGGAUCUCUUGGUUCUCGCAACGAUGAAGAACGCAGCAAAAUGCGAUAAGUAGUGUGAAUUGCAGAAUACGUGAAUCAUCGAAUCUUCGAACGCAUAUUGCACUUUUUUAGUUUACUAAAAAAGUAUGUCUGUUUGAGUAUCAGUAAAAUAUUCUCAUAAAAAACAUUGUUUUUUUAUGGUUAUGAGUGUUUUACAACGAUAACAAGUUGUUUCACUUUAAAUUCUUUGUUAUCAAAAAAAUCAUUAAAAGCUAAUUUUAAAGAUUUUUUAAAAUUGGAUAAAAUUUUCCCGUAAAAAGGAAUAACCUAAACAACUUUAAAAAAUUAAAAUUGGUUUGAUUUUUUUUGAAACCCAAAGGAAAAAAAAACGAAAUUAACUUGAUCUCAAAUCAGAUAAGAGUACCCGCUGAACUUAAGCAUAUCAAUAAGCGGAGGAAAAGAAACUAACUAGGAUUCCCUCAGUAACGGCGAGUGAAGCGGGAAGAGCUCAAAUUUGAAAUCUUCAAGGUUUUACCUUGACGAAUUGUAGUUUAAAGAAGUGUUUUCUGUUGGAGUUUUGGUAAAAGUUCUUUGGAAAAGGACAUCAUAGAGGGUGAGAAUCCCGUAUUUGACCAUUAUCUCCAGCUUUGUGAUACACUUUCAAAGAGUCGGAUUGUUUGGGAAUGCAGUCCAAAAUGGGUGGUAAAUUUCAUCUAAAGCUAAAUACUGGCGAGAGACCGAUAGCGAACAAGUACCGUGAGGGAAAGAUGAAAAGAACUUUGAAAAGAGAGUUAAACAGUACGUGAAAUUGUCAAAAGGGAAGCGUUUGACACCAGUGUUGUUUUCUCGAAAAUCAAUUAAAAAAGGCCGGAUUUUGUGUUGUAUUGACUUUAUCAGCUUUCUGCACUCUUUUCUUGUCUUUUUUAAUGCACUUUUCGUUUAACAAGUCAACAUCAAUUUCUUUGUUGUAAAAGGGUCAUUGGAAGGUGGCUUUCUUUUCGGAGAAAGUGUUUAUAGCCUUUGGCCUCUGCAAUCGGAGAGAUUGAGGUCUGCAGCGUAGAUCCUUCGGGGUUAGAUACAUUUGUGCUAAGUUAUAGCCUUUCAUAGACAACUUGUUGACUAUGAUCAGUCAUGUAGCUUACUCGCUUAUGCUAUUUUACCUACGCUUAGGAUGU
rnacentral:misc_RNA from 1 species